GACGAACGCUGGCGGCGUGCCUAAUACAUGCAAGUUGAGCGCUGAAGGUUGGUCCUUGUACCAACUGGAUGAGCAGCGAACGGGUGAGUAACGCGUGGGGAAUCUGCCUUUGAGCGGGGGACAACAUUUGGAAACGAAUGCUAAUACCGCAUAAAAACUUUAAACACAAGUUUCAAGUUUGAAAGAUGCAAUUGCAUCACUCAAAGAUGAUCCCGCGUUGUAUUAGCUAGUUGGUGAGGUAAAGGCUCACCAAGGCGAUGAUACAUAGCCGACCUGAGAGGGUGAUCGGCCACAUUGGGACUGAGACACGGCCCAAACUCCUACGGGAGGCAGCAGUAGGGAAUCUUCGGCAAUAGACGAAAGUCUGACCGAGCAACGCCGCGUGAGUGAAGAAGGGUUUCGGAUCGUAAAACUCUGUUGGUAGAGAAGAACGUUGGUGAGAGUGGAAAGCUCAUCAAGUGACGGUAACUACCCAGAAAGGGACGGCUAACUACGUG
rnacentral:rRNA from 1 species